rnacentral:rRNA from 1 species
GAUGAACGCUGGCGGCGUGCCUAAUACAUGCAAGUCGAGCGAACAGACGAGGAGCUUGCUCCUCUGACGUUAGCGGCGGACGGGUGAGUAACACGUGGAUAACCUACCUAUAAGACCGGGAUAACUUCGGGAAACCGGAGCUAAUACCGGAUAAUAUAUUGAACCGCAUGGUUCAAUAGUGAAAGACGGUUUUGCUGUCACUUAUAGAUGGAUCCGCGCCGCAUUAGCUAGUUGGUAAGGUAACGGCUUACCAAGGCAACGAUGCGUAGCCGACCUGAGAGGGUGAUCGGCCACACUGGAACUGAGACACGGUCCAGACUCCUACGGGAGGCAGCAGUAGGGAAUCUUCCGCAAUGGGCGAAAGCCUGACGGAGCAACGCCGCGUGAGUGAAGAAGGUCUUCGGAUCGUAAAACUCUGUUAUUAGGGAAGAACAAAUGUGUAAGUAACUAUGCACGUCUUGACGGUACCUAAUCAGAAAGCCACGGCUAACUACGUG